CACAUGAGCCAUGAGGUUAUGUAGUCAGAAUGGUAUCUACAAAGAUGCUUUUCUAUACCAUCUAUGUGAUAUCUACACAGGAGAGGACCUUGCCAUGUCCUAAUGUUGACCGGUUAAUUAGGAACCCAAACCCACCGAUCCUGAUCCUACCGAGGGUGGCAGCGGUGGCCCAGCGAGUCCUAAACCAAGAAAGAUUGUAGCCUUCACAGCAAAACUUAACAUCUGUGACAGCUACCCAACUCACAGAGGAAUCCUGAAGUUUACCAACAUCCUGGUCAAUGAGGGAGAUGGCUACAGUACCGACACAGGAAAAUUCACCUGCUCGCUAGCUGGCUUGUACCACUUGACACUGUACAUGUCCACCUACGGGCGCGCCCAGUGUAGUAUCUUAAAGAAUGGCCAGCGGGUUGUCUCAGCAUACCAUACCAGCCUGCCAGACAAUUGUUGCCAUGUAGCCAGCAUUGGUAGUGUGAUUGAGCUCACUAAAGGAGAGCAUGUUUGGGUUAAUCUGUGGGGGCCUACAAGGCAUGACAUUUUUGCUACUGAAGAGAAGGGUCAUCUAAUUUGUAAUUGAUGAAAUUUCAAUAUUUCUCAGUGUUUUAGAAUUUGUUGUUUAUUAGGCUAAAUCUGUGUGCCCAAUGCCACCCCUCAUCUCUGAUUCCCCGCUGUGCGCACAAUAUCAAGUGCGCCUAUAGGCUAUUUAGUGUGGUCUCAAUCAAAUGAUCCAAAUUAUCCAUAGCCUAUAGGCUAAAGGAUAUACGAAGUGCAUGCCGAGAGAAGAG
rnacentral:lncRNA from 1 species